ACUCAAAGGAAUUGACGGGGACCCGCACAAGCAGUGGAGCAUGUGGUUUAAUUCGAUGCAACGCGAAGAACCUUACCUAGGCUUGACAUGCAGAGGAGUCUACUAGAAAUAGUAGAGCCCGAAAGGGCUUUUGCACAGGUGCUGCAUGGCUGUCGUCAGCUCGUGCCGUGAGGUGUUGGGUUAAGUCCCGCAACGAGCGCAACCCUUAUCAUUAGUUGCCAGCAUUUAGGAUGGGAACUCUAAUGAGACUGCCCGGGUUAACCGGGAGGAAGGUGAGGAUGACGUCAAGUCCGCAUGGCCUUUAUGCCUAGGGCUACACACGUGCUACAAUGGUCGGUACAGAAGGCAGCGAAGUCGCGAGAUGAAGCUAAUCCGUAAAGCCGGCCUCAGUUCAGAUUGUAGUCUGCAACUCGACUACAUGAAGACGGAAUUGCUAGUAAUGGCGUGUCAGCAACAACGCCGUGAAUACGUUCCCGGGUCUUGUACACACCGCCCGU
rnacentral:rRNA from 1 species